GUAGUACUCCCUCCGAUCCAUAUUACUUGUCUUUAAUUUGUCAAGAUAUGGUUGUAUCUAAUAUUGAAACGUGUCUAGAUACAUCCAUAUCUAGACAAAUCUAUGAUAAGUAAGAUGGAUCGGAGGGAGUAUUAU
rfam:Triticum aestivum genome assembly, contig: Triticum_aestivum_CS42_TGACv1_scaffold_603032_7DL